rnacentral:lncRNA from 1 species
AAUUUACUUGUUUGAUCGUCCUUCCAUAUUUCUUUCUUUCAAUGUUCUUUGUUUUAUUAGUAUUACAAGUAUUUCAUUAAAAACAACCAAAUUUCAUUAAGUAGAAGCAUGAAACAGCAGCAGUAACCUUUUGCAUAGGCAACACCCCUGACACAACAGCAGUUUGACCAGUGUUUACACAACCUAUAAUAAAGCCCAGUAGAUUGAAGUAGCACCCAACCCAGCAUGACCAGUGUUUACACAACCUAGAAUUUCACCCAACUGUCAGCAACACCAGGAGAUUGCAGUAGCACCCAAAUGUCAGAAUUUCCAGAGCAUAACGACAACAACUUAUACAUACCAGUGAGGCAGUGACAAUAACAUCAGCAGCUCUGCAACCACCAUUCAUCCUUAAGAAGGCAUUUUCAACAAAAUGGAUCACCAAAUUGGUUAUUCUUGCUUGAUAACA